rnacentral:tRNA from 3 species
GCCGAGGUGGCUCAGUGGUAGAGCAAGUCAUUGGUAAUGACUAGGUCGGGGGUCCGAUUCCCCCCCUCGGCUCUA